rnacentral:misc_RNA from 1 species
UCUCCGUUGGUGAACCAGCGGAGGGAUCAUUACAGAGUUGCAAAACUCCCUAAACCAUUGUGAACGUUACCUAAACCGUUGCUUCGGCGGGCGGCCCGGGUCCUUCCCGGCGCCCCCCGGCCCUCGCGGGCGCCCGCCGGAGAAGCACUAAACUCUUGUAUUUUUGGCUUCUCUGAGUGAUUAUACAAUGAAUCAAAACUUUCAACAACGGAUCUCUUGGUUCUG